rfam:Triticum urartu cultivar G1812 contig331617, whole genome shotgun sequence.
AUCCAUUGCUUAGUUGGUAAAGCACAAAGCUCUUAACCUUGUGGACUUGAGUUCAAGCCCCAUGGUGGAUA